rnacentral:tRNA from 1 species
UCCAGGGUAGCCUAGUGGACAUGGCAUCUGCCCGGUAAUGGAACACUGUGGGUUCGAUUCCCAUCCCUGGAC